rnacentral:tRNA from 1 species
GGGUUUGUAGCUCAGUGGUAGAGCACUUGCCUAGCAUGUGUAAGGCCCUGGGUUUGAUUCUCAGCACCA